CUUCCGUUUUAGUUGCUAAGAGUUAAACGGUUUACCCGUUGCGAAACAUUUGGGCUACGGUCCGUGACCCCCGUGACCUUCUACUGUAAUACAGUGAGACGGAAACACAGGUAGUAGAGAGACACAACGCAGACGACACCUUGUUAUAAAACACAGUACGUUUUUUAUUAUCAGUCAAAAUUACAACAUCAGAUCAAGCGUUUUAACCCCGUCCUACUGGCGUUAAAACUCUCAAAGGAGAAAGUGUAGGAUACCUAGAAAAUAAAGACGCUCAGAAGGAGGAAGUGUAGGAUAUCUAGAAAAUAAAGACUCUCGGAAGGAGGAAGUGUAGGAUAUCUAGAAAAUAAAGACGCUCGGAAGGAGGAAGUGUAGGAUAUCUAGAAAAUAAAGACUCUCGGAAGGAGGAAGUGUAGGAUAUCUAGAAAAUAAAGACUCUCGGAAGGAGAAAGUGUAGGAUAUCUAGAAAAUAAAGACGCUCAGAAGGAGGAAGUGUAGGAUAUCUAGAAAAUAAAGACGCUCGGAAGGAGAAAGUGUAGGAUAUCUAGAAAAUAAAGACGCUCAGAUUUGAAAAUCAGAGGUUUUCCUAACAGCCUAAUCGAGGUGUUUUACAAGGCUACAUGUAAAUCCUUCUGCUGACCUUAACUAGUUGCUUAUCAACAGGGACGGCAGCGUAGCCUAGUGGUUAGUUUAGCGCGUUGGACUAGUAACCGAAAGGUUGCAAGAUCGAAUCCCCGAGCUGACAAGGUACAAAUCUGUCGUUCUGCCCCCUGAACAAGGCAGUUAACCCACUGUUCCCCGGUAGACCGUCAUUGUAAAUAAUAAGAAUUUGUUCUUAACUGACUUGCCUGGUUAAAGGUUAAACAAACAUUUAAAACAGAGAAUGACUAUCCAAACUAAGCGAGACCAGGAUUUAUCUUAACGCCGCUCCGUGCAGCCAUCGGAUAAACCCCAGGAGCCCCUCUGGACGGCUCUUAUUAACGCCGCUCCUCCGCUGUCAAAACGUCAGCUGAAAACCCCCAUCUGAUUGGAUCUACAGUAACUAGACCUUCCCUGAGCGAGACGCCGAACACAUUGACUUACCAACAUCCUGGUUACUAACGGGGAGGCUGGGGGAUUCAAUCCAAUUACAGGUGGUUACUAACGGGGAGGCUGGGGGAUUCAAUCCAAUUACAGGUGGUUACUAACGGGGAGGCUGGGGGAUUCAAUCAAAUUACAGCUGGUUACUAACGGGGAGGCUGGGGGAUUCAAUCCAAUUACGGGUGGUUACUAACGGGGAGGCUGGGGGAUUCAAUCCAAUUACGGGUGGUUACUAACGGGGAGGCUGGGGGAUUCAAUCCAAUUACAGGUGGUUACUAACGGGGAGGCUGGGGGAUUAAAUCCAAUUACGGGUGGUUACUAACGGGGAGGCUGGGGGAUUCAAUCCAAUUACGGGUGGUUACUAACGGGGAGGCUGGGGGAUUCAAUCCAAUUACGGGUGGUUACUAACGGGGAGGCUGGGGGAUUCAAUCCAAUUACGGCUUGUAGACAACAACAACAACAAAAAGCAAUGUUUGCAGUCAUGUAAAGGCUGUUAUCGGUCGACGGGGGAAAUGUAUAUUUUAACAACUGCAUCAACAGCUGUCCAGCUCGCUGCUCAACAGAGAGAAUCCUGGUCUGAAUGAAUGUCCCCAGGCCAGAUAGAUUAUUACAGAGGGGAUCAGCAGGUCCUACAUCAGUGUGAAUGACACCCCCUCUUCCACUCUCAACACAGGAGGGAGGGAGGGAGGAGGGAGG
rnacentral:lncRNA from 1 species